rnacentral:rRNA from 1 species
UACGUAGGGUGCAAGCGUUGUCCGGAAUUAUUGGGCGUAAAGAGCUCGUAGGCGGUUUGUCGCGUCUGCUGUGAAAACCCGAGGCUCAACCUCGGGCCUGCAGUGGGUACGGGCAGACUAGAGUGCGGUAGGGGAGAUUGGAAUUCCUGGUGUAGCGGUGGAAUGCGCAGAUAUCAGGAGGAACACCAAUGGCGAAGGCAGUUCUCUGGGCCGUAACUGACGCUGAGGAGCGAAAGCGUGGGGAGCGAACAGG